rnacentral:rRNA from 1 species
UACGUAGGGGGCAAGCGGUUGUCCGGAAUACUGGGCGUAAAGCGUGCGCAGGCGGUUAUGUAAGACAGUUGUGAAAUCCCCGGGCUACAACCCGUGGGAACUGGCAUCUGUGACUGCAUAGCUAGAGUACGGUAGAGGGGGAUGGAAUUCCCGGUGUAGCGGUGAAAUGCGCAGAUAGUCGGGAAGAACACCCGUGGCUAAGGCGGCUCUCUAGUACGGUACUGAACGCUGAGACGCGAAAGCGUGGGGAGCGAACAGG